CUGGCUCAGGAUGAACGCUAGCGACAGGCCUAACACAUGCAAGUCGAGGGGCAGCACAAGGAGCAAUCUGAGGUGGCGACCGGCGCACGGGUGAGUAACACGUAUGCAACCUGCCUGUAAGCGGGGAAUAACCCGUUGAAAGACGGACUAAUACCGCAUAAUACUAAAUUACUGCAUGGUAAUUUAUUUAAACAUUUAUGGCUUACAGAUGGGCAUGCGCGUGAUUAGCUAGUUGGAGAGGUAACGGCUCCCCAAGGCAACGAUCAUUAGGGGUUCUGAGAGGAAGGUCCCCCACACUGGUACUGAGACACGGACCAGACUCCUACGGGAGGCAGCAGUGAGGAAUAUUGGUCAAUGGACGAGAGUCUGAACCAGCCAAGUCGCGUGCAGGAAGAAUGUCCUAUGGAUUGUAAACUGCUUUUGCAGGGGAAUAAAGUGCAUCACGUGUGAUGUUUUGUAUGUACUCUGCGAAUAAGGAUCGGCUAACUCCGUGCCAGCCGCGGC
rnacentral:rRNA from 1 species